AUUGAACGCUGGCGGCAGGCCUAACACAUGCAAGUCGAACGAGUGGCGGACGGGUGAGUAAUGUCUGGGAAACUGCCUGACGGAGGGGGAUAACUACUGGAAACGGUAGCUAAUACCGCAAACCAUCGGAUGUGCCCAGAUGGGAUUAGCUAGUAGGUGGGGUAAAGGCUCGCCUAGGCGAAGAGCCCUAGCUGGUCUGAGAGGAUGACCGGCCACACUGGAACUAGGACACGGUCCAGACUCCGACGGACGGAAGCGGUGGGGAAUAUUGCACAAGGGGCGCAAGCCGGAAGCAGCCAUGCCGCGUGUAUGAAGAGGGCCUUCGGGUUGUAAAGUACGUUCAGCGGGGAGGCGUUACCCACAGAAGAAGCACCGGCUAACUCCGUGCCAGCGGCCGCGUAAUAC
rnacentral:rRNA from 1 species